rnacentral:rRNA from 1 species
CCUACGGGUGGCAGCAGUAGGGAAUCUUUCACAAUGGGCGAAAGCCUGAAGGAGCAACGCCGCGUGCAGGAUGAAGGCCUUAGGGUUGUAAACUGCUUUUAUAAGCGAGAAAUAUGAUGGUAACUUAUGAAUAAGGAUCGGCUAACUACGUGCCAGCAGCCGCGGUCAUACGUAGGAUCCGAGCAUUAUCCGGAGUGACUGGGUGUAAAGAGUUGCGUAGGGGGCAUAAUAAGUAGCUAGUGAAAUCUGGUGGCUCAACCAUUCAGACUAUUAGCUAAACUGUUAAGCUCGAGACCGUUAGGGGUAGCUGGAAUUUGUAGUGUAGGAGUGAAAUCCGUAGAUAUUAGAAGGAACACCAAUAGCGUAGGCAGGUUGCUGGGACGGUUCUGACACUAAGGCACGAAAGCGUAGGGAGCAAACGGGAUUAGAUACCCCUGUAGUC